rnacentral:rRNA from 1 species
GACGAACGCUGGCGGCGUGCCUAAUACAUGCAAGUCGAGCGGACUGAAUGGGAGCUUGCUCUUCUUCCGUCAGCGGCGGACGGGUGAGUAACACGUGGGUAACCUGCCCGCAAGACCGGGAUAACUCCGGGAAACCGGAGCUAAUACCGGAUAACACCGAAGACCGCAUGGUCUUUGGUUGAAAGGCGGCGCAGGCUGCCACUUGCGAUUGGUCCCGCGGCGCUUUAGCUAGUUGGUGAGGUAACGGGUCACCAAGGCGACGUUGCUUAGCCGGCCUGAGGGGGUGACCGGCCACACUGGGACUGAGACACGGCCCAGACUCCUACGGGAGGCAGCAGUAGGGAAUCUUCCGCAAUGGGCGAAAGCCUGACGGGGCGACGCCGCGGGAGCGAAGAAGGCCUUCGGGUCGUAAAGAUCGGUUGUGAGGGACGAAGGAGCGCCGUUUGAAGAAGGCGGCGCGGUGACGGUACCUAACGAGGAAGCCCCGGCUAACUACGUG